UACGUAGGGUGCAAGCGUUGUCCGGAAUUAUUGGGCGUAAAGAGCUCGUAGGCGGUUUGUUGCGUCGGCUGUGAAAUCCCGAGGCUCAACCUCGGGUCUGCAGUCGAUACGAGCAAACUAGAGUGUUGCAGGGGAGACUGGAAUUCCUGGUGUAGCGGUGAAAUGCGCAGAUAUCAGGAGGAACACCGGUGGCGAAGGCGGGGUCUCUGGGGCAACAACUGACGCUGGAGGAGCGAAAAGCGUGGGGAGCGAACAGG
rnacentral:rRNA from 1 species